GAUAUGGUGUAUCAUUUGAUUGAUACAAUGGAGUUCUGUAGUGAGAAUCUUGUGGCAUGUGGAACUGACUCUGAUUAUGGUGGCUCGGCUGUGAAGUGAACAAUGAGCAGAACACUAACACGUCUCAUUCACGGUAUAUUACUUCCCUUAAAAUCAAUCCUGCUGGCAACAUUAUCAUUAUAGGUUCAUGUGCUGAUGUGCCAAACACCCAUUAACAAGAUCUCAUUUAUCUCAUUAUCUGCAUGGUUCUCUAAUUAGUAUGUUUUCCAGGAUGACGAGAAGGCAACAUCAAGCGUGGUGCAUAGGCGAGGGUCAGAAACAUGACCCUACUUGCUAAGGAGCAGAUAGAUCUGUGCGCAAGCAAUGGUUGGCAGUGGUGCCGAUGGUCAAGUGGAGGAGAACACAAAAUAUGAAGACAUGCAGUCGCAUCAGGUCACAGGAUAUGGUGUAUCAUUCGAUUGAUACAAUGGAGUUCUGUAGAGAGAAUCUUCUAGCAUGUGGAACUGACUCUGAUUAUGCUGGCUCAGCUGUGGUACAACUAUGGGAUAUUGAGUCUCUCGAAUCUUACUUAUCUUUCUUUGCGAUCGAUUCGGUAUAUAUAAUUUAAUUUAAGUUUCUUACUGAAAUUUUUAGAAGUGAACACUGAGCAGAACACUAACACGUCUCAUUCAUGGUAUAUUACUUCCCUUAAAAUCAAUCCUGGUGGUAACACUAUCAUUACAGGUAAUGUUCUUUCCCUGUUGUGUAUAGUAUCCCUAUAUUGCAGCCAGACUAAUACUUGGCGUCCCUCAUCUCUCGUUUGUACAUUUACGCACCUUGUACCAUUUCACUCCCAGCUUGGAUUUCCUCGGACUUCGUAACUAAAUUACCAAUAGAGAAUUUUUCUCUUGGUUUAGGUUCUUGUCCGUGGUUGCUGGGAAAAGCUGAGUUCUUUCUCUUGCUACUUUUCAUUCUCAGCAAAUUUCUGAAUCAAACAUUAAAGCAUGAUAAAUUAUGAUUUUUGAUCUCCAACUAUUCCUCCUUUUCCACACUAUUCCUCCUUUUCCUGUGUAAUACACACUAUUCCUCCUUUUCUUAAUUAGUUAUAUGUUGAACAUAAUGCCAACGGACAAUAUAGUACCGUGUACCUCUAAUUUCUAAGUUGGGGCAAUUGAUAGUCGUGUUUUAGUUCCUUUUCAACUAUUGUAGCUGCAUAAUUUGGCAACAAAUGCUUCAUGUGAACAGAAAAUAUUUAAAAAUUUCUAAGUUAAUAAAUAUUUGUUGGUUACACUGUGUUAUCAUGGCACUGCGUAUGGAUAUGUCUCUCUUUCAAGCUAAGUUGGUUUUCUACUUGUUUUUUUAAUAACUGGAAGGUAACUAAUAGUUUGAUCUUUAAGUUUAUAGAGAAUCAGGUGAUAAGUAAUUGAUGAUACAAGGCAUUUGAACGGGCUUGAAGCAUUGAGCCUUCAUUGGACUUGCCUCAGGCUGGAGUGUGAACAAAAAAUAAUCACCAAUCUCGGUAACCACUCCCUAAAUCUUAAGCGCAACUAUUUUGACAUUUGGAGUCGGCCCGACAUUCCUUUUCUUUGAAAGAGGAUAUCUGCCCGCCCCUGCAUAUCAGAAUUCAUACCAUAGGUACCCUGAAGCAAAAAAUACUGGUGCAUUGCAAACUUAUUACCAUAAUCUAUAUUCAGUCUUUUUGGACCAACCUACAUGGACGAAAACGCGACAUGUUGGAAGGCAGGCCGGAGGAACCAGAUGGUUCUAGACUGCUGGUAUAAAGGGAACCCAUACUUUAACAGGGUUUCUACUCAUGUUCUUUUGAGCAUACAACAUGUCUGUAGUUUCAUCUCUUUAGUCUGUAGUUUCAUCUCUUUAGUAGUUGCCAUACAAAAGAAUCCUUUGUUUGCAAAUGGAACUACGAAUAAUUUAUUGCAACGUCGCCAGUUAUUAAUCUAGGUUCUAUAUUUGCAACAUAGUAAAGAAA